UGCAGGUGUAAGACAGAGGAAGAGACCGGUGUAAGACAUACACAGAGAGAGGGAGAGAGAGAGAGAGAGAGACAGAGAGAGAGAGAGUGUCUGAUAGAGUGAGAGAGCCUGAGCGGUUGUUUGCAGCCAAAGGAAAGAUUUUUGAAGAAACGAGAGAGACGGUGCCCGUGGAAAGAACGUGGAGGCUGGAGGUCGUGUUUUGUGCACAGAGCCAGGGGGUCGCAGAACACCGGCACAGGAUGAGAGAGAGCAGCAGAGAGCAGGGACAUUUCCCCAACUGCAUCAAGAUGUUAGGCUUUCACAAUGAGUCAUCCCUUUACCAAAUAUCCCCUGAUACACUUCUGCUCCCCUGUUCAGUCUCCCACUCGGAGGGUCUCAGGCUACAUCUCUUCUCACACUCUCGUCCACGAUGAAGCCAGACUGUUAUUUUGUUUUUACUUUCCUGUUCAGUCUCUCCUUCCUUUCUCCCGUCUGUCCCAUAAACUGCAAUAAAACACAAUAUGCCUGGCCAAUGGACGGACCCCAGCUGUGCUGUGACAAGUGCCCUCCAGGGAAACAUAUGGUGCGGCGUCCAGAUCGCACUUGUGGAAUUGAGUGUCAGUCCUGCACUGGUCGCCGGUACACGGAUGCUCCCAACGAGGAGCUGGGCUGCGAAUUUUGCGAAAACUGCGAUAAACGGUUUUCAGGAUGAAUCAUAGCUCUUCCUCUUUGGACAUGUGGCAGUCCUUCCCCUGCUCCUGGGAGGGAAAGAACACGCUCUCAGUC
ensembl:lncRNA